rnacentral:rRNA from 1 species
GAUGAACGCUGGCGGCGUGCCUAAUACAUGCAAGUCGAACGCAUAGCGAAAGGUGCUUGCACCUUUCAAGUGAGUGGCGAACGGGUGAGUAACACGUGGACAACCUGCCUCAAGGCUGGGGAUAACAUUUGGAAACAGAUGCUAAUACCGAAUAAAACUUAGUGUCGCAUGACACAAAGUUAAAAGGCGCUUCGGCGUCACCUAGAGAUGGAUCCGCGGUGCAUUAGUUAGUUGGUGGGGUAAAGGCCUACCAAGACAAUGAUGCAUAGCCGAGUUGAGAGACUGAUCGGCCACAUUGGGAAUGAGACACGGCCCAAACUCCUACGGGAGGCUGCAGUAGGGAAUCUUCAACAAUGGGCGAAAGCCUGAUGGAGCAACGCCGCGUGUGUGAUGAAGGCUUUCGGGUCGUAAAGCACUGUUGUAUGGGAAGAACAGCUAGAAUAGGAAAUGAUUUUAGUUUGACGGUACCAUACCAGAAAGGGACGGCUAAAUACGUG